UUCUGGCUCAGAACGAACGCUGGCGGCAUGGAUUAGGCAUGCAAGUCGAACGAAGCAGCAAUGCUUAGUGGCGGAAGGGUGAGGAACGCGUGAGUAAUCUGCCCUCAAGUUGGGAAUAACAGCUGGAAACGGCUGCUAAUACCGAAUGUGGCUGUUGGGUCGCAUGGUCUGACAGUUAAAGAUUUAUUGCUUGAGGAUGAGCUCGCGUCCCAUUAGCUAGUUGGCGGGGCAACGGCCCACCAAGGCGAUGAUGGGUAGCUGGUCUGAGAGGAUGGUCAGCCACACUGGGACUGAGACACUGCCCAGACUCCUACGGGAGGCUGCAGUCGAGAAUCUUGGGCAAUGCGCGAAAGCGUGACCCAGCCAAUGCCGCGUGCGUGAUGAAGGUCUUCGGAUUGUAAAGCGCUGUCAACCGGGACGAACUUAUGACGGUACCGGUGAAGGAAGCCACGGCUAACUACGUGCCAGCCGCUGC
rnacentral:rRNA from 1 species